UUUUUAGUCGUAUAUAACCAGUUGUCCGACCAAGACAUGUGAACUGCUAUUAGCAACAACAAAAAAAGACAUGUGAACUGCUAUUUUUUCUACACAAAGAUUCGUAAAGAAAGGCACGAGGGUCUUAUUUUAUAUUGACUCGGUGAGCUGGACAAUGGAAGAGGGGUUAGGUAUACAAGUGCGUAAGCCAUUAUUCUUGUGUUUAAAAUUUUAUUAAACUAUAGAAGUUGUUGAAUCUGUGGAGGGACCAUGCCGCCAAUGGGCCGCCGUCAGGGGACCAACGGACCGUACAGAUAUGCUUCCAUUGCACCGUGAAAGUCGGUAGCCUGUAACAUAAGCUUCAGCUUUGGAGAGCAACCGCAGCCAGGAUUACAUCACUAACACUUACAACUUCCUUCUAGUAUUAUAGCAGUAUAACUGAUAAAGAAUUUUGUGUAGUAAUAACAGUUAUCUACAAGAUGUACUUCCAAUUUAUUCCAUCAGUUAUGUCUAUGGAUUCUUUCAAGACAUAUAUGUUUUACUCACGAGCACCCGUCGAGGCUUCAUCUGAAUCCUCCGCAUGAGGCUAGUCAUAGUGGGAGUAACUUAGCAAGUAACAUAGCACACUCCGAGAUUUUUUUGCUUAUGUGGCAUGUAGUUAAUGAGAAGUGGUAACAUAAUAUGUUACUGUAACAUAGCGCUUUUCAAGACAAGAUGAGUCUACAAACUAAUUAAUAAAGUCCUCCAUGACACUACUACUAUGUUAUUUUGCACUAUGAAGGUAGUAACUUAGGCUAGUAUUAUAUGCAUGACACUAAUAUAAGUUACUCCUCACUAUGACCAGCCUGAGACUUCCAUCAGAGCUUGGGAACAAUUCUUCUUCCAUGGGAAGGUCUAGUUGGCAGGUUCAAAUCUUCCCACUGUGGAUCGUCGACCUUGGAGAAAUAUUUUGCAACUACCCCGUCAUGCACU
rnacentral:lncRNA from 1 species